rnacentral:rRNA from 1 species
UACCAGCACCCCGAGUGGUCGGGACGAUUAUUGGGCCUAAAGCAUCCGUAGCCGGUUCUACAAGUCUUCCGUUAAAUCCACCUGCUUAACAGAUGGGCUGCGGAGGAUACUAUAGAGCUAGGAGGCGGGAGAGGCAAGCGGUACUUAGUGGGUAGGGGUAAAAUCCGUUGAUCCAUUGAAGACCACCAGUGGCGAAGGCGGCUUGCCAGAACGCACUCGACGGUGAGGGAUGAAAGCUGGGGGGAGCAAACCGG